rnacentral:lncRNA from 1 species
GGAGGGCCUUGUCCGUCUGGCUUGUAGAAGAAACUUGGCCUUGUAAGGUUCCACCUGGCUCGUCCUGGGUCACAAGCCUGGCCAAUGUUCCUUCCUCAGUCUGGCUUUUAGAUUUCAAUUAGAUUCAAAAUUGAGAGGCUUCAUUGCUCAUAUGGGCACGUCUCAUAUUCCUUAAGUUUUAGGAGAAACUGAAACCCACCCUUGAGCCCAUGGGUGGGCCUUUGGUUUUUCCUAGUCACCCCCCCGCCCAGGGACCUGGCUGGCACAACCAUCUCUUGUGGCCUCUUUGCUUGGUCAAGUCAUGUUACCUCUGUGGCCCCUUCCUGGCUAAGGAGCUCUGGUGACAGAAAUGGUAGGUAGCUCCUUCUGUUUUUUUUUCAUCCUGGCCUUUAACCCACAGAAGUCACAACUGGCUUUUGGACGAGGCUUCCCCAGAAGAAAGGGAGGAAGGACAAGCACAGCAGUGGUUUGGCUGCAACAUUCAAAGACCUGAAAAUAUGGAAGCAGGCUCUGGGGAAGAGGAGCACUGAGAAUAGCAGCCGUGAAUACGGGAAGUGCUGAGCCCAGGGCUCUUUGGAGGAGCUGUGGCUUCGUUCUGGAGCCUGUUAGUCUCUACAAAGAGGACACUCAGUUCCGAACUGCCCCCCCCCGGGGCCGGCCUGCAAGGUGGCAAGGGUCACCCAGCUGGUUCUCUCAGUCUUUUGCCCAAUAUCUUCAAUCCAGACUUGUCUGUCUCCGCUCACUAUAUUUUGCACAUCUUAAGGGGCCAUGAAAGGAAAAGUUCAUGUUAAUCAUACUGAAGAUGUGUUCACUCGGCAUGAUUUAUUGAGAACUGAUGUGUGCCCCGUUCUCGAAUUCAAGGAUGAACUGGAACUCACUGCCUGAUGUCAUUAUAUGGUAUCGUGUGACCAGCAGCAUAAAGAGGCACAUACACAGAGCUCUGGAGCCCGGAGAGGAGAGAGACUGAGGGCCCUGAAAGAGCCAAGAUCAUCUUUCCAAUGGGUUUGCAAAGCGUGCACGUGAACUUGACCAAGAGGAAAGCAAAGGGCGGGUGAGGCAGAAGGGCUGCAUGUGCUGGGAGGAGAUGAAGAGUUGGGCACAACGGGGGAAGAGUCAGGAGUGGACAAAGGUGAAGCCAGGAAGAUACAGGGGCACGGACAGCAGGCUUGGGAACUUGAAUUUUACGCCAUAAUAGUGGAUGGUUUUUAUGCAAAUGUUAGAUGGGAUCUUAGUACUAUAUUUCAGAAUACUAAAUUUAUGAUAGGUAUGAUAAAUAAUAACAUUAAUUACAAAUGAUGAUGGUGACGGAAAUACAAAUAGCAAGUCUCUUCAUCAUAUGUCAGUGGUGAUGGGAUGUCACUCCCAUGAUUAGGUGGUAUAUAUAAACAUCCGUCUUAGUGAACUAGAGGCAGAGAUUCUUCUGCUAGCCCCGAGGAAACAAACUACCAUAUUGUGAACUGCCUGUGGAGAGGGCCACGUGCCAGGGAUCUGGGGGCAGAUUCUGGGAUCUGUGUUGGCCUCCAGCCAACAAAGGCUAGGGUCCUCAGUCACACACUGCCAAGGAAAUGAAUUCUGUCAACCAUCUGAAUGGGCUUGGAAGCAAAACCUUCUCUAGUCGAACCUCCAGAUGAGAACAUAACCCAGUCAGCACUUUGAGUGAAGCCUUGGAAGAUGCUAAGCAGAGCUGAGUCAUGCUGGGACCCAAGCAAACUGUCAUAGAAAUAAAUGCAUGUGUUUGUUUUAAGCUGCUGGUUUU